rnacentral:rRNA from 1 species
AUUGAACGCUGGCGGCAGGCCUAACACAUGCAAGUCGAACGAGUGGCGGACGGGUGAGUAAUGUCUGGGAAACUGCCUGGUGGAGGGGGAUAACUACUGGAAACGGGCGCUAAUCCCGCAUCCCCUCUGAUGUGCCCAUAUGGGAUUAGCUAGUAGGUGGGGUAACGGCUCACCUAGGCGACGAUCCCUAGCUGGUCUGAGAGGAUGACCAGCCACACUGGAACUGAGACACGGUCCAGACUCCUACGGGAGGCAGCAGGGGGGAAUAUUGCACAAUGGGCGCAAGCCUGAUACAGCCAUGCCGCGUGUAUGAAGAAGGCCUUCGGGUUGUAAAGUACUUUCAGCGGGGAGGCGUUACCCGCAGAAGAAGCACCGGCUAACUCCGUGCCAGCAGCCGGGGUAAUAC